UACGUAGGAUGCAAGCGUUGUCCGGAAUUAUUGGGCGUAAAGAGCUCGUAGGCGGUUUGUCGCGUCUGCUGUGAAAACUGGAGGCUCAACCUCCAGCCUGCAGUGGGUACGGGCAGACUAGAGUGCGGUAGGGGAGAUUGGAAUUCCUGGUGUAGCGGUGGAAUGCGCAGAUAUCAGGAGGAACACCGAUGGCGAAGGCAGAUCUCUGGGCCGUAACUGACGCUGAGGAGCGAAAGCAUGGGGAGCGAACAGG
rnacentral:rRNA from 1 species